rnacentral:rRNA from 1 species
UUCUGGUUGAUCCUGCCGGAGGCUACCGCUAUUGGAGUUCGAUUAAGCCAUGCGAGUCGAGAGUCUUAGGGACUCGGCGUACCGCUCAGUAACACGUGGGUAACCUGCCCUAUGCUGGGGAAUAACCUCGGGAAACUGAGAAUAAUACCCCAUAGUUCACCACGCCUGGAACGGUGGGUGGAUGAAAGCUCCGGCGGCAUAGGAUGGGCCUGCGACGUAUCAGGUUGUAGGGGGUGUAACGUACCCUCUAGCCAUCAACGCGUACGGGUGUUGGGAGACAUAGCCCGGAGAUGGAUUCUGAGACACGAAUCCAGACCCUACGGGGUGCAGCAGGCGCGAAAACUUGGCAAUGCGAGCAAUCGUGACCAGGGAACUCCAAGUGGCUGGGGUAAUACCCAGUUUUUUCUUGACUCUUCAAAGGUCUUGGAAUAAGGGGUGGGUAAGGACGGUGCCAGCCGCCGCGGUAAUACCGGCGCCUCAAGUGGUAGUCGCUUUUAUUGGGCCUAAAACGUCCGUAGCCGGUCUGGUGCAUUCGUGGGUAAAUCAACCCGCUCAACGGGUUGAAUUCUGCGAGCACGGCCAGACUUGGGACCGGGAGAGGUGUGGGGUACUCUCAGGGUAGGGGUAAAAUCCUGUCAUCCUGAG